GCCUGGGUGGCUCAGUCGGUUGAGCGUCCGACUUCGGCUCAGGUCAUGAUCUCACAGUUCGUGGGUUCGAGCCCCGCAUUGGGCU
rnacentral:tRNA from 1 species